AAACAGCACGCCGCACUUCUGCCUCUCAGCACUCGACGAGUUUUCUCAACAGGCAUCCCGACUUGGAGUCCAGCUCCGUUCCACCGAAUGUGAAGACAAGAUGCUGGAGGUGCUUUUGGGAAACCCAGAGCUUGGAGCAGACCACCGCAGGCUGUGAACCGAGGCCAAGGCCGGGGCUGCCAGAUGCGGGGGUGUGGAUCGGUGGCCGUGGCCAUGCCUGUGGCUGGCUGCACUAGCUGACCCUGUACAUUUGGAACCUCACCCACUCCUGUGGCCGAACCAUCUGCCCCUCCCCGGACUCACCAACAACAACAGUUUUCAAGAGGACACCGGAAUUCCCUCCACCCACCGUCCAUCUUCAGUCUGGAUUUCAUUCUGCCGUCGCUGCCUCUGCCUUCAACUCCAGUCCUCAGCCCGUUACCCCCCUCCCUAGUCAGCAGUCCGUCCCCAGCAUGAGCCAGGUUGAGGUAUUAGUGUUGUUUAGUUAACGUUACCUGAGACCCUGUCAUUUUUAGUGAGCUUAGUUGCUCUUUAGCUUUGAGUCUGCGUAGUUUUUCUAGUGAGCUUAGUUGCUCUUCAGCUUUGAGUCUGUGUAGUUUUUCUAAUGAGCUUAGUUAUUUUCCCCAGUUCCUGUUUCCGGGAUCCGGCUUCUGGGAGUUGUAGUCUUUUGGUUUUUGCUC
ensembl:lncRNA